CAAUUGAUGUAGAAGUUUGUGGGCUUCCAAAAGGUAUUUCAUUCAAAAAUCCCAGUAUGUACUCAUUGCCUCAACUUAAGAAAAUCUUCUCUUCAACAUUGAAGUUUGAAGUGAGUGUCAGACCUGAAACAUCAAAGGCAAGAGCUCCACAGGAAACAGAGGUUGAUACAACAGCAGCAGCAAAUUCCAAACUAGCAAAUGGUGGACAAAACUAAGUAACUGAGGACGUUUCUGGUUUGGAAGAAACAAGUGAUCAAGCAAAUGUGUUGAUUAUAAACAAACCAGAAACUGAUGACAUUC